rnacentral:lncRNA from 11 species
CACAAAUCAAGGAGGGAUGGAAGUAAGCCUGAGGUAUUCCAAGAACAAUCUAUUCCAAUGAGGAGUUGGCUUUGGACUCCUAAACUGAAAGCUCUUUUAAUCUCCUUUUUAUGUAGAUUGUCUGUCAAGUGAAAUCUUCACAAUGAUGACAAAAAAAGUAGACAGAGGGCUACAAAACUUCUCUCAGGA